AGGUACAUGGCAGUAGGUACAAGUAGGUACAUGGCAGUAGGUACAAGUAGGUACAUGGCAGUAGGUACAAGUAGGUACAUGGCAGUAGGUAGAAGUAGGUACAUGGCAGUAGGUACAAGUAGGUACAUGGCAGUAGGUACAAGUAGGUACAUGGCAGUAGGUACAUGGCAGUAUGUCGUUGAAGGUACAUAGUAGUAGGUAGAAGUAGAUACCUGGCAGUAGGUACAAGUAGGUACCUGGCAGUAGGUACAAGUAGGUACCUGGCAGUAGGUAAAAGUAGGUACCUGGCAGUAGGUAAAAGUAGGUACCUGGCAGUAGGUAAAAGUAGGUACCUGGCAGUAGGUAAAAGUAGGUACCUGGCAGUAGGUAAAAGUAGGUACCUGGCAGUAGGUACCUGGCAUAUAUGUAUUGAUUUAGAAUGGACCAUAUCCAUAUCUUGUCUCAGAACGGGCAGGAGAAAAAAAUAGAUGCAUUUGAAUAGAGAAUGGAGGAUGCGUUUCCCCUGGUUCAUUCUCAUGCCAGCCAGGUAGGCUAUACUCCUGUUGUAAAGAGAAGCAAUGUGCUUAAUAUCAGGAACGUUCUUAAAUAAAUAUAGUAGGCUUAGCCUAUAGAAAGCUGAUGGGUUCCUCCUAUUUUUAAUAGAGGUCAUCACUCUGUAUUCUUACAUAAUGACAUACCCUAUAGAAACGUUGCUCCACUUGAGCUCAUGGGCUCUCAUGAAGUGUUUGAUUUGAUUUUACAUUGAUGUCAGAGUGAUUAGAGGCACAAUAAAAUGCUGAGUACCAGGUAGUUAGCAAGUUUAGUUGGUUAACAAUCACCAGCAGCAGAGCUUGGAGAUGCCUAAUUACCGUGACGUGGAAUUUGACUGCCGGUAAUGGUAACCGUAACAGCCCUAACGAGGCCCCACCUGGCAGAGAGACGCUAUGCUAAGAUGCCCUGACUACUGUAGGCUUUUGGUCCAGCUAUAUAACAGUCCUGAUUCAACUGAUUGAGAUCUAUGAUUAUAGUCAUUUAGCAGACACUUUCAUCCAGAGAAAUUGAGGCUGAAGUUCCUUGCUCUGGAAUUCGAACCAGCUGGACCAAAAGCACACAGUGCCUUUUGGACCUAAGUAGCUCCUCCUGCCCAAAACAUUUCUGCCCUCCUUCCACUCUACUAUCUAUCCCACAAUCCUUUGCUCUUGAUUCUCUGUCAACCAAUUAAGUCCUCUGCUACACUCUUUCUGAAAGACAAUUCCUCAAAUUGUUUAGAUUAAUGAUUUAUUUUAUUCAUCAUGAAAUAAUGUAAAGUUGUAUCAUUUUUGACUGAAUAUUUAAUGUUCUAGCUGGUGUUAUAGGUGAUAUAAUGUGUUAGUGCUGGAGAGAUUGAAUAUGUCCGUAAACAGCCAGCUGGUCUGCGCAGGCUCUGAGGACGUGGCUGGGGAUGCCGUCUGGGCACUAACACAUUAUAUCACCUAUAACACCAGCUAGAGGGAGGAAAAUGGUUUAAUUGUUUUUCUCUCAUUAAUCUACACACAAUACCCCAUAAUGACAAAGCAAAAACAGAUUUUUUUGAAAUGUAUAAAAAAAAUGUAAAAAAAUAUCACAUUUACAUAAGUAUUCAGACCCUUUACUCAGUACUUUGUUGAAGCACCUUUGGCAGGUUUUCAUCAAGGAUCUCUCUGUACUUUGCAUCGCAUCGUUCAUCUUUCCCUUGAUCUUUUCCCUCCCAGUCCCUGCCGCUGAAAAACAUCCCCACAGCAUGAUGCUGCUCAGUUUGGCCGGGCGGACAGAUCUAGGAAGAGUCUUUGUGGUUCCAAACUUCUUUGAUUUAAUGAUGGAGGCCACUGUGUUCUUGGGGACCUUCAAUACUGCAGACAUUUUUUGGUACCCUUCCCCCAGAUCUGUACCUCAUCACAAUCCUCUCUGAGCUCUACGGACAAUUUCUUUGACCUCAUGGCUUGGUUUUUGCUCUGACAUGCACUGUCGACUGUGGGACCUUAUAUAGCCAGGUGUGUUUCUUUCCAAAUCAUGUCCAAUCAAUUGAAUUUACCACAGGUGGACUCCAGUCAAGUUAUAGAAACAUCUCAAGGAUGAUUAAUGGAAACAGGAUGCACCUGAGUUCAAUUUCGAGUCUCAUAGCAAAGGGUCUGAAUACUUAUGUAAAUAAGGUUUUUAACUUUGUGAUUAUGGGCUAUUGUGAUGUCAUUAUGGGGUAUUGUGUGUAGAUUAAUGAGGGAAAUGUUUUAUUUAAUCCAUUUUUAGAAUAAGGCUGUAACGUUACAAAAUGUGGAAAAAGUCAAGAGGUCUGAAUACUUUGUAUCAUACAGUGAAAAAUAAUUGUCAAAUAAAAAGGUUCAGCCCAGGUUCACAUACUGCACAAAGGUACGGCUGAGAUCCCACCUAGGUCCCCGGCCAAGAGAUGGGCCAGAUACAGGCUGCCCUACAGACCUUACAUGGGGCCAUGGCUGAGAUCCCACCUAGGUCCCCGGCCAAGAGGUGGGCCAGAUACAGGCUGCCCUACAGACCUUACAUGGGGCCAUGGCUGAGUUCCCACCUAGGUCCCCGGCCAAGAGGUGGGCCAGAUACAGGCUGCCCUACAGACCUUACAUGGGGCCAUGGCUGAGUUCCCACCUAGAUCCCCGGCCAAGAGGUGGGCCAGAUACAGGCUGCCCUACAGACCUUACAUGGGGCCAUGGCUGAGAUCCCACCUAGGUCCCCGGCCAAGAGGUGGGCCAGAUACAGGCUGCCCUACAGACCUUACAUGGGGCCAUGGCUGAGAUCCCACCUAGGUCCCCGGCCAAGAGGUGGGCCAGAUACAGGCUGCCCUACAGACCUUAAAUGGGACCACAAUUAACCAGCUAUACAAAAAUCUAAACGCAACGCGCAAGAAUUUCAAAGAUUUUACUGAGUUACAGUUCAUAUGAGGAAAUCAGUCAAUUUAAAUAAAUUCAUUAGGCCCUAAUCUAUGGAUUUCACAUGAGUGGGAAUACAGAUAUGCAUCUGUUGGUCAGAUACCUUUUAAAAAAGGUAGGGGCGUGGAUCAGAAAACCAGUCAGUAUCUGGUGUCAACAACAUUUACCUCGUAGAGUUGAUCAGGCUGUUGAUUGUGGAAUGUUGUCCCACUCCUCUUCAUUGGCUGUGCAAAGUUGCUGGAUAUUGGGGGGAACUGGAACACGCUGUCGUACAUGUCGAUCCAGAGCAUCCCAAACAUGCUCAAUGGUUGACAUGUCUGGUGAGUAUGUAGGCCAUGGAAGAACUGGGACAGAUCCUUGCGACAUGGAGCUGUGCAUUAUCAUGCUGAAACAUGAGGUGAUGGUGGCGGAUGAAUGGCACUGUUACGUUCCCCAGAUUAUGUGUUGUAGAUUGUGUAUUUGCAUGUGUUUAUUUCAGGAAAUGGCUUCCUGAAAUCCCUCAAGCAGCUGAUUGGUUGACUCCAGGGCUAAUUGGAGAGCUGACCCCGCCCCCUCGUCAAGACACAGCUGUCUCCAAUUACCCAUUCCUUCUGAAGCUAUAUAAAAGCCAGUGUUCUGUUCAGGAGGGAGAUCUUUUUGGAGGUAGAGAUUUUGCUGGAGGUAGGGAUUGCUGAGAUUGAUUGUGAUAGAGGUUGAUUUUGAUAGAGGUUGAUUUUGCUGGAAAGUGGUAUGUUCUGUGAGUUUGUUGCUCAGAUAGAGCUUAUUUGACAUCCUUUUGUUUCUUAGUUUGUUUGAAAUUGUUUAAUAUUCUGUUUCAUUUGUUCCCAGGGGGGAAGGGGAAGGCACCUAGGGAGUGCUUAGGCAAGAGGCCCGCGGGCAUACAUAUACCCAUAGCAUAUUCACUGUCUAGACACACUAGGUAAGACCUGGGCGGACCACCCCUUGUAUUUUGGUUAGGGCACCAGGUGGUGCUAAAUUAUGUAAGUAGUGGGUAGGCAGGUAAGAUAGGAGAGGGGGGGGGCUUUGAGAUUUACUUUCUUUGCUUUGGUUCCGUCCAGCCCCUUUUCCCCAUAUUACCGUGUAAAGGAAUAAAGUCCUUGGAAACGG
ensembl:lncRNA